rnacentral:lncRNA from 1 species
CUUUCUUGUGUGGGGCAAAAAGCCCAAGAGUUGAAGUUAACGGUUUUCGUCAUUAUCUUGGGCAAAAUUUCUCUUCCCGGUCGUGUUUUUCUGGAGUCAAGGAAGGAAACCCCCAGAACCCAUCAGGUUGCCGAGAUUUAACCUCUUCGUUGCCUAAUUGACUAAAAGACGUUUACGUUUCUCAUAUAAACUCAAAAGUUAGGCAGGGGUAUUUUGCACAAGAAACUGUGUUUUAAGAGCUAUUCUUGGGUCCCAAGGGUUUGGAGUGGGGAUUUAAAUUAGGAACGAAAGAGUAGCGAUCGUCAGGAGGAAGUUUCCUGUCUGGUAGAGGAGACAUUGUCCUUGCCGCUAGUGAACAGCAAGUAAGUUAGUUGUUCACGUUGGAGGAAGAGGCAGAGCCCUGCUCCAAAAACUAGCUCUGAGGAAUUCCCAGUUGAGCUCUGUUUCGAGCGCCCACCUCGUUGUCCCACUGCGUGUGGGUUUGAGAAAGUGGGGCGCGGGGGGGUUCUGUUUCUUGAAUGUGAAGGUGCUUUACUAGAGUCUUAGAAACGUGGAACCCCACUCAGCUCAAAUAACCUCUGUAUUCCAUAUGCUUGCUUGAGCCAAGAGUUGGAGGAGGGAGAAAGGAAGAAGGAAUAUUUUUAGUGAAGCUGGAACCAGGAAAGGAAUGGAUAUUUACAUAAUAAUGAAAGGUCCUAGGAAGGAAAGGUUGGUCUGGUCAAGAAUAUUAGGCCAGAAAAAAAAAAAAAGAAUAUUAAGCCAGAAGAGCCAUCAGAAAAAAACUAGAAAAUAGAGAGCAGGCAGGAGGAUUUAACCUCCCUAGAGGAAGACAAGAGAAGCAAUGCUGGGCGGAGACCGACUGGCUGGAAUCCAGGCAAGGUCCAUCCCUAAAUUAGGAUCCUGGAGCCCAGUUUCGACCUGGGGCAGUUAAGAUGGAGAGUUCCACUGGAGCAGAGUUGAAAGAACGAAGCAGCUGAAGAUAAACACCUGAUUGAUGUAUGAGAUGAAGAACUCCAAGGAGUUUAAGUUCCAGUCGGUUUGCCAGCAUUCACUCUCCUUGGCAAUUGCCUGGGCCGUUUUUGACACAGGCAGCUUUUUUAUUUAGUAUUUAGGUUUUAGUGCUUAAAAUAACUACCUUUGAUAACUUGGGUUGAACUGCACAUAACAACUUAUUUGAAAAUGGCUCAUGUUUCUUUUGUAUCCUUUCAGCACUCAUGCAUUUAAUUUCACACUAUUGCUGUUACUUUGUACUUCCUGCUGUAUUUGUGAGAUCAUUCUUGGAUGUUCUAGCUCCCUAACUGGUGAUAAGGAUCUCAUAUUAAGAGCAUAUCUUAGGCUGGGCAUGGUGGCACACACCUGUGAUCCCAGCACUCAGGAGGCUGAGGCAGGAGGAUCACAGUGAGUUUGAGGCCAGCCUGGGCCUAAGUUCAAGGCCAACCUGAAUUACAUAGUGAGAACCUGUCUCAAAAAAAAAAAAAAAAAAAAAGUAUCUCAAUUCUUCUGUGUACUCUUUUCUAAUAGUGCCCUGUUCAUGUUCUACCCACUGUAAAUACUUGCUAGUCCGUUAGAAUAUCAUUACCAUUCCCAUCAUUACAGAUACUCAGCAUUAGUUAAUCUCCUACACUGGAUUCUCUAACAUUGCAGCUGACACUAAAGAGUUUACAAUUUCAGAUCUGGAUGAAGAGGCCCACACAUGGAAUCCUACCACUUGGGAGGCUGAGGCAGGAGGACUGCUGUGAGCUCCAGGCCAGUUUGGGCUACGUAGUUGAAGGCCAGCCUGGAAUACAUAGUGAGACCCUGUCAGCCAGGUAUGGUGGUGGAUGCCUGAAAUCCCAGCUAUUCUGGAGCCCUAGGGAGGAAAAUUCCAAAUUUGAGGCCAGCCUGGGUGAUUUAGCAAGAUCUUGUCUCAAAACAAAAAGGGAUGCAGCUGUAACUCAGUAUAAAGGCCCUGGGGUCACUUCUCAGUACCCAAAAAUAAAUAAGAAAAGGUCUGGAGAUGUAGCUCAGCGUGAAGCCCCUGGGUUCAAUUCCUAGUACUGCAGAGGGAGGGGAAGAAUUUGGUUUUGCUUAGAUAUGGUUCUUAUCCUUGGCAUGUGCACAUUCUGUUGGAAAGAUGAAGAAAACUAAUUCCAGUAGGAUAGAAAUAUGAUCUUAAGGAGAAAAAUGUGUUCUUGAGAGGACAGUAGACCAGCUAGGUAUAUUUAGAAUAAGGAAGAAAAGUCUUAAAAGCUCUCUGUUUUUCUUUUUAACCAACUAUAAUCUUUACUUGGAGAGUCAUUUUCAUCACAACACAAUUACAAGCAGGAACUGUUGGCUUCAAAGUCUUUCCCCAGUGACCUCUGCCCAUUCUCAUCUCCCAGACCCAACAUGGGCACAAUCCAAAGUUCUCCCCACAUUUGCACUUCCUCACGGGCUCUUCUUCUUACUUGAAUGUAUUUCCCAAUCCUCUUUAGAAAGAUCUUUCUUCAGAGCCAGACGUAAUGGGCCACACUUGUCAUCCCAGCAUUCACAGACAAGAGGUUCACAGGUUUCAGGACAGCCUGGGCAACUUAGACCCUGCCUCAAAUUUAAUAGAAGUUGUGUUUGUUUGUUUUUAAUGCCUGGGAAUGUAGCUCAGUGCAGAGUCAUUUGGUUCCCCCAGUACUGGUGGGAAAAAAUCUUCAGAGAGUCUUGCUUGAUUUAUUCUUUCUAAGGUAGUAGGGCAUAAUGAUAGAUUGCACUGACUUAAAUAGUUUUCCUCAUACCAUUGGUCAACACACUGUUCCCUCCUCUCUUAAAGGCAGUAGGAACAUAAAUCCUAUUUGUGGUAUUGAUCAGUUCUACUGGUGUCCAGCAUAAGAUAUCAUAUCUUAGUUACUUUCUCAUUGGUGUGACAAAAUACCGACACCCACAAGUUAAAGGAGGGGAGGUUUAUUCUGGCUCAUGGUUUGUAGAGGUUUCAGUCCAUAGUCAGGUGGUUCUAAGGCAGGGCAGCAUGGCAGAGGGGCCUGGCGGGUCAGGCAUGGUGGUCCACACCUAUAAUCCAGCACUCAGGGGCCUGAGUCAGGAGGAUCGCUGGGAGUUCAAGGCCAGCCUAAGCUACAUCAUAGCAAGACCCUGUCUCAAAAACAAAACAAAACAGGGCCGGGGAUGUAGCUCAGUGGUUCCGCCGCCUGCCUCCCAAGCACAAGGAUCCAAGAUCGAUCCCCCAAAAAACCCACCAAAACAAAACAGGGGCAUGCCGGGGAUAAACAGUUUGUGGCAUGGCUAGCAGGAAGCAGCAGCCAUCAAGGGAAGAACACUCUACUACUGAGCUAGAUCCCCAGCCCUUUUUUAUUUUUUAUUUCGGAACAAGAUCUUGCUAUAAGUUGCCCAGGCUCAGCUCAGACUUGCCAUCUUCCUGCCUCUGCCUCCAAAAUAGCUGGAAUUAUAGGUGUCUACCUAGCUGGACAAGUUUUUAAGUUUAUAGGUGCCUUAGUCUUCUCUGUACAUUGGGGACACUAAUAGUCACCUCACAGGUUGCUGUAAGGAAUGAAGGAGGUGAUUCUUGUAAAACACUCAGCAAAGCUCCUCAGAGUUAGUGUUCAAUAAAUGGCUGUUGUCACUUAUACUUCCAGGCACCCUAGUCAUGGCCAUAACAUCCUAAUGUUUGUGACUAUACCUUCACGUGGCCUCAGUGGUGGUUUGCUUCUGUCUGUUCAACCUCUCUGCAGCUUAGCGACAGAGUGAUGACCUAGGCAUUAUAUAGCAGGCACUGAGUCACACCAAGAUGGCCAGAACACCCUCUUCCUCCCGAAGGAGCUUUGAGCCCAGCAGGGAUGACAGGACAGGAAGCCCAAGAUCCGAAACACAUGGGGAAGUAGAAGGAUGAGUAAGGCCUGGUGGUACAGAGGAGGAAGUGGAGUGCUUCAUCUGUAUACAUAGAAGAAGUGAAACAAGAGUCAACAUUAUGGGAUGAAUUUUUGUCACUGGACAUGGGAAAUAGGACUUUCCAUGCGAAGGGAAUUGAGGUGAGGGUGACUGAGUUGGCGUGGAGUUGAGGUGCUUCCUAGAAAAGCAUAGGACUGUUGUUGGGUUCGAGUUCGUACACAGCCCUCAGUGCCCUGCUAAGGCACCAGACCAGAGGUGAUGGGCAGCCUCUUUUCUCCUUCUUCCUAAUGAGAGUCUUGCUAUACAGUUCAGGCUGGCCUGGAACUCUCAGCGAUCCUCCUGCCUCAGCCUCCCAAGUGCUGGGAUCACAGGUGUGCACCCCCACCCCCGGCACAGUGGGCUGUUUCUGAAGGACUUGAAGCACAGUAGUCUUGUGAUCAGACUUGCAUGUUAGAGAGCUCUUUCUGGCAGCUGUUAGGGGAAUGAUUGGAGUGGCAGGGAGACCCAAGGCAAAGAUUGGCUAAAAUGAUAACCUUAGCCAGGGAGGAGGGGCCAUUGAGAUGAGCAGUGACCGUGGGCACAAUCUUUGUGUGUGCCCUUGUAUAUUUUCUCACUUCAGUCUGUGUCUUGUCUCCCCAGUUACGUCUGUAAGCUCCUUAAAAGAUCUCUCAAAUUCCUUUUUAAAGGUUCCUUCACCAGUGGAAUGUACUGGGGAUUGGACCCAGGCCCUUGUACAUGCUAGUCAAGCCCUGUACCACUGAGCUACACUUCCACCUAUUGCCUGACAGCAAAAGGGUGAAACCACUGAUUUUGAAGCAAAUCCUUCCAACCUGCAAGAACGCCAUCUUUGUGAAGAAACCCUCUCUACAGAAUGUCCCUUGGCUUCACUGGUUCUGUGUAUGUAGGCUGAUUUAAUAUUCAGUCAAUCCUUGGAUUUCACUUCCAGUAUAUCUGCUUCCAAUAUUUAAUCCCAGCAUGACAUCUCCUCGCCUCACAGCAUG